AACGAACGCUGGCGGCACGCCUAACACAUGCAAGUCGAACGGAAUUUAAGUCUUCGGAUUUAAAUUUAGUGGCGGACGGGUGAGUAACGCGUGGGAACCUGCCUUGCAGUAAGGGAUAACGCCGGGAAACCGGUGCUAAUACCGCAUACGCCCUACGGGGGAAAGGGGGGAGUCUUCGGACCUCUCGCUAUCAGAUGAGCCCAUGUCAGAUUAGCUAGUUGGUGAGGUAAAGGCUCACCAAGGCGACGAUCUGUAACUGGUCUGAGAGGAUGAUCAGUCACACUGGAACUGAGACACGGUCCAGACUCCUACGGGAGGCAGCAGUGGGGAAUAUUGGACAAUGGGGGGCAACCCUGAUCCGAGCCAUGCCGCGUGUGUGAAGAAGGCCCUAGGGUUGUAAAGCACUCUCAGUGGGGAGAAAGGUUAUUCACCUAAUACGU
rnacentral:rRNA from 1 species